rnacentral:lncRNA from 1 species
UUAAACUUGGUCAACAUUAAGUUGAAAAGUGUAAAAGUUGCAUGGAUAGAUUGAGGCAUGAACAACCUUCUUGUUGUCGACCUAAGAUCCCAAGUCGAAUUAGCUUGAACCCUCUUUCACACGGUCAAAGAAUUUAGUCUAUCAAAGGAUUUAAAAAGGUUAGCUCGACGCUUUAGACAAACACUCAAUCGAUGGAGGUUCGAGUCGAACUAUGAAAGACAUCUUAAGGAAGUAUCAUACUAAUGCAACAGAACAAAUAUCUUCCCUAUACGAUAACGCUACUUAGACCAAUAAAUCAGGAAGGUGAUGAGACGACUU